UUGGAUAGAGGUAAUCUCGGCCUGGUCGACUUCUUCUGCUCGUAGAAGGGAGUCUUUCGGCUUCGGAUUACCUGCUUUGUCCGAAG
rnacentral:pre_miRNA from 1 species